UACAUGUUAUGUAAUGAUUGAUCCCUACAUCUGCAUUGAAAAAAGCAGCAGUGAGAACCGACCAACGGUGAUUUUUAGCGCAUGUAAUGACUGAA
rnacentral:rRNA from 1 species